rnacentral:rRNA from 1 species
UACGUAGGGGGCAAGCGUUGUCCGGAAUUAUUGGGCGUAAAGCGCGUGUAGGCGGCCUGGUAAGUCUGCUGUGAAAACUCGAGGCUCAACUUCGAGCUGUCGGUGGAAACUGUCUGGCUAGAGUCCGGAAGAGGAGAAUGGAAUUCCUGGUGUAGCGGUGAAAUGCGCAGAUAUCAGGAAGAACACCCGUGGCGAAGGCGGCUCACUGGCCCGGUACUGACGCUGAGGCACGAAAGCGUGGGGAGCAAACGGG